rnacentral:rRNA from 1 species
AUUGAACGCUGGCGGCAUGCCUAACACAUGCAAGUCGAGCGGAGCGGCGGACGGGUGAGUAAUGCCUACGAAUCUGCCUGGUAGUGGUGGAUAGCGUCCGGAAACGGGACCUAAUACCGCAUCCUAUCAGAUGAGCCUAGGUCGGAUUAGCUAGUUGGUGGGGUAAGGGCCUACCAAGGCGACGAUCCGUAACUGGUCUGAGAGGAUGAUCAGUCACACGGGAACUGAGACACGGUCCAGACUCCUACGGGAGGCAGCAGUGGGGAAUAUUGGACAAUGGGCGAAAGCCUGAUCCAGCCAUGCCGCGUGUGUGAAGAAGGUCUUCGGAUUGUAAAGCACUUUAAGUUGGGAGGCGGUACCAGCAGAAGAAGCACCGGCUAACUUCGUGCCAGCAGCCGCGGUAAUUC